GACUUAGAAAAAUCCGUUGGCUUUAUUGACCGUGAGGGUUCAAGUCCCUCUACCCCCA
rnacentral:tRNA from 1 species